CCUUCGGGGUGUUUNAAUNGNGAANGGGUGAGUAACACGUGGGCAAUCUGCCCUUCACUCUGGGACAAGCCCUGGAAACGGGGUCUAAUACCGGAUACGACACACGACCGCAUGGUCUGUGUGUGGAAAGCUCCGGCGGUGAAGGAUGAGCCCGCGGCCUAUCAGCUUGUUGGUGGGGUGAUGGCCUACCAAGGCGACGACGGGUAGCCGGCCUGAGAGGGCGACCGGCCACACUGGGACUGAGACACGGCCCAGACUCCUACGGGAGGCAGCAGUGGGGAAUAUUGCACAAUGGGCGAAAGCCUGAUGCAGCGACGCCGCGUGAGGGAUGACGGCCUUCGGGUUGUAAACCUCUUUCAGCAGGGAAGAAGCGAAAGUGACGGUACCUGCAGAAGAAGCGCCGGCUAACUACGUGCCAGCAGCCGCGGUAAUACGUAGGGCGCAAGCGUUGUCCGGAAUUAUUGGGCGUAAAGAGCUCGUAGGCGGCUUGUCACGUCGGAUGUGAAAGCCCGGGGCUUAACCCCGGGUCUGCAUUCGAUACGGGCAGGCUAGAGUUCCGUAGGGGACAUCGGAAUUCCUGGUGUAGCGGUGAAAUGCNCAGAUAUCANGAUNAANNCCGGUGGCGAAGGCGGAUCUCUGGGNCNNUACUGACNCUGAAGNCNAAAGCGUGGGGAGCGAANA
rnacentral:rRNA from 1 species